UUGAUCCUGGCUCAGAUUGAACGCUGGCGGCAUGCCUUACACAUGCAAGUCGAACGGCGGCGCGGGAGCAAUCCUGGCGGCGAGUGGCGAACGGGUGAGUAAUACAUCGGAACGUGUCCUGUAGUGGGGGAUAGCCCGGCGAAAGCCGGAUUAAUACCGCAUACGCUCUACGGAGGAAAGGGGGGGAUCUUAGGACCUCUCGCUACAGGGGCGGCCGAUGGCGGAUUAGCUAGUUGGUGGGGUAAAGGCCUACCAAGGCGACGAUCCGUAGCUGGUCUGAGAGGACGACCAGCCACACUGGGACUGAGACACGGCCCAGACUCCUACGGGAGGCAGCAGUGGGGAAUUUUGGACAAUGGGGGCAACCCUGAUCCAGCAAUGCCGCGUGUGUGAAGAAGGCCUUCGGGUUGUAAAGCACUUUUGUCCGGAAAGAAAUCAUCCUGGUUAAUACCUGGGGUGGAUGACGGUACCGGUAAGUAAUAGCACCGGGGCUAACUAA
rnacentral:rRNA from 1 species